rnacentral:rRNA from 1 species
GGAGGUUGUGGCCUUGAGCCGUGGCUUUCGGAGCUAACGCGUUAAGUAGACCGCCUGGGGAGUACGGUCGCAAGAUUAAAACUCAAAUGAAUUGACGGGGGCCCGCACAAGCGGUGGAGCAUGUGGUUUAAUUCGAUGCAACGCGAAGAACCUUACCUACUCUUGACAUCCAGAGAAUCCAGCGGAGACGCAGGUGUGCCUUCGGGAACUCUGAGACAGGUGCUGCAUGGCUGUCGUCAGCUCGUGUUGUGAAAUGUUGGGUUAAGUCCCGCAACGAGCGCAACCCUUAUCCUUGUUUGCCAGCGAGUAAUGUCGGGAACUCCAGGGAGACUGCCGGUGAUAAACCGGAGGAAGGUGGGGACGACGUCAAGUCAUCAUGGCCCUUACGAGUAGGGCUACACACGUGCUACAAUGGCGCAUACAGAGGGCAGCAAGCUAGCGAUAGUGAGCGAAUCCCAAAAAGUGCGUCGUAGUCCGGAUUGGAGUCUGCAACUCGACUCCAUGAAGUCGGAAUCGCUAGUAAUCGUGAAUCAGAAUGUCACGGUGAAUACGUUCCCGGGCCUUGUACACACCGCCCGUCACACCAUGGGAGUGGGCUGCAAAAGAAGUGGGUAGUUUAACC